CCCUAUUUGCUCAUUGGAAUUAGAAACCCCGUACAUACCCCCCUUUCUCUCUCCUCUUUUCCCCUCUGCCUCCUAUUUUCGUUUCUCUUCAUCGACUUAGGGCUUUUUGGCCUUCUAUCUUUCGUUGUAAAGCAAGUAAUCGGGCCAAGCAAGGGGCUUGCUUUGGGCUUCAAACGAUGGUUUUGAUUCCAGUGUUGAAUGGUGUUGUUGAGUUAAGGUUUACUGAGGUGAUCUUUUAGAUUCCUGAUUUGAUGAAUAAGGUUAGGGUUUUGUUUUGCUUUGGGCCUGGGCCUGAUGACCCGGGGUUGUUGUCCGGGUCGGGGUCGGGGUCGGGGUUUGUACCCGUUUCUGCUCCUGAGAGUGAUCCUAUGACGAUGUGGAUCAAUGAUCCGAAUCCAGUAGAGGUGAAAGAAUUGAGGAAAAUGCCUACUCCGCCGCCACCUCCACCGAUGAAAUUGAUUAAUUUGGAUAGUCCAAUAAAUAGUAACCUUAGUGAAUUUCACUCGACUCCGAACCCGGCCCAAAAACAACAACAACAACAAGGGUUCUUUAGUAGGGAGUUGAAUUUUUCGGACUAUGCGGGUUAUAAUGGAAAUGGGACCAAGAGUAAUGGGAGCUUGAAGCCGGAAUCUGGGGAGAUAUUAAGCUUUGGUGGAGAUGAUUUAAGAGAAGUACAAAUAAUUCAAAUGGAAAUGUGGGGAUAUUUGGAGGUAAUUCAAGUUUCUUGAUUGAUGAUAGUAGUAAUAAAAUAAAAAGAUCUCCGAAUUCAAGAGGAAGUAAUGAAGAUGGGAUGUUAUCUUUUACUUCUAGAGUCAUCUUAGCUUCAUCUGGGGUGGUGGGUAAAUCCAGCAAUAACAAUGGUGCUGAUUCGGAACAUUCGGAUUUAGUAGCUUUUCGUGAACAACAACCAGCAGUUUUUUAUGGAAGACGCUGCUGCAGCGAUUUUAGAAGCCUCGGUUCGCCGUUCGAUCGGUAAGUUUCAACACUUCUUCUCUCUCUCCUCACUUUCUCUCUCUUUUCUGCUUCAAUCAUGUCGAUAAUGGUGGAUUUGUGUGCAUAGAAAAGAAAUAGAGGUGCGAAGUUGAAUCCUAACCUAGAGAGCAAAACCCCUACUGAUCUUGAUUGAGAACAUUAUGACGACGUUCUUGAGGAUGUUUUCCCGAAAUUUAAGCGCAAUCGUGUUGUUCGAGCUGCAACUGCUGUUAAAUUUGACCAUAUUAGCUUGAUUGAGUAUGAGAUUGGUGGAUAUUGAUAGCAGUAUGCUGAUUAAAAGCUCAAACAAAGCUGCAGUUGUUUUCAUAAUGUGUCCGUUGAUGCUGAGUUCCUUGAGCAUCCCGUUCAUGGCACUAUCAAAACACGGUUCCUGAAAUGAGGGACAGCUGACAACCCACAGAAACGCAAGUAAUUAAAUUAGGAUCAUGCUCUUGGCCUCUCAUCGAAUAAAAUUAUCGGCUACCUUCACAAUCAAAUUUCAAUAUCUUGUUUACAUGGCCUAUGAGCCGAAGGAGAUGGAGGGCAGGGAAGCAUGGCAGAGAGCCGUAGCAAUCUUCAGUCUUUUACUUUCACGCCUAACUUCAGGAAUUAUUUGAAGUUCGUUCUUUCUCCCAAGACAUCCCGAUUGAUAUAGUGCAUACCUCCAUUCAUGAGGGUCAUCUUUGCCACACAUGGAAGUAGCCAGCUGUACAAUCUCAUGUGGAACACCAGAACAUGAAUCUGCAAGUAACAUAGGCAUGUCUCGAAGAGAAGGUUCAGAGCCCUCACCGAUCCUUGCUUCAUGCCUGAACAACUGGGAGUGGAAUUCCUACACGAUCCAGAGAGAAACCAGCUUCUGGCACACCAUCUAAGAAAAGUGCAAACCUGUCAAGACUUGCAAAUGUAUGUGACAACUUCGUAGCCCUUCUACUCACAUCAUCAACUCUGGAAAGAUCACAGUUAACAACUGCAUCAACAUACAGCAUCUUGAAAACUCUUAAUGGUGAACACACAAGGGGAAAUGACCCAGAAAACAUAAUCAAACAUGCCUAUCGCGCAAUUGUGCAAGUGCUUCAUCAAAUGGGUUGUCAGCUGUCCCUCAUUUUCAGGUGUGUUGUCGUAUUUUGGCCAUAUCUCACUCAUUUAGAGUCGAAACGAGACGAUUUAAGUGGCUACGGAAAGCUGAGUUCGAGCCCUACAACUUUACGUGAUAUAGAAAAGAGCUAAAUCAAUCAUUUAGUGGGUAUAAAUUUCACUACAAUGUAGCAGCCCUUAUUUGUGUAAAAAGAAGAAAGUGUAGGGGGUGUUUCAAUUGAAGCCCACGAAGGAAACCCAAGUAGAAGAAAAAGACAGUAAGAAACUAUGAAAAAAAACAAGAGCCUAAGUCACUGAAGAUACAUAAAGAAAAGGAAUAAAAAUCCUUGUUGGGCUAAAAAGUAAUAGACGGUAGCCACAAUAGGGGAACAGAACACACAUCAAAGGGGAAUCUCAUACCCUGAGCCAUAAAAAGCAACAUAGCAGCAGCAAAGUAGAAGACACACAGAGAUGCACAAUAGUUGCAGGUUUAGUUUGUAAUUUAGACUUGGUUUGUCGUUCCACCGGUGACAGUGGCGGAUCUACACUUGGUCUGGUUUGCUUUAGUUCUUCACUAUUCAAUUCACUUGCAAGAUUUCUGGUAUUUUUGUUCCUUUGCUUUAAUUGAUUUUAGUCUAGUUUUGUUUAAUCGUCUUCUACUUGCAAGAUUUCUGGCGAUUUGUUUGCUGCGUCAAUCGUUCAUUCCUAGUAAUUCAUUGAAUUGCAAAUUCAAUGGUAGUAUCUUUCUCUUGUGUUUGAGUAGUUAAUUUUCUAUCGUCAGCGAAAUCCAUUGUUAAUUCUAAUUUUGCAGUGGCGUUGGUACUAAAUGAAGUUCAUCCUUUGUUGAUUUCAUUAUCUAUUAGGGGUUAAUGUUCAAUCCUAUUACUUUAAUCAAUUUUAUUAUUUUUUUUGUUUUUUUUUUUAGUUCAUAUAUAUUGUCUUCGAUUUUUUACUAGAAUAUGUUAGUUCAGGUUGAUCUUUAUCAUACUUCAUGAGUUCUGAUGAUUAUAUUUGAUGGUUUUUAGCAUGAUAAUAUUCUAUGAUUUUGAUUUACAGUAGACUUAGAGUGGGAUUAGUAGUUUCUUUAGCUUUUGAUAUAUUUAUAUUGUUAGUUUUAUUCUUAUUUAGAAGGAUUAGUUUUAGGAUUAGUAGGAUUAGUUUUAGGAUUAGUUUUAGUUUUAGGAUUAGUAGGGGCUGUCACUAAAAGGUACUAUUAAUUGAGUACGUCACCUGUAUGUAGAAGUUUUUACUCCUUGUUGGUGCAUGUACAGCUUCAGCUAGUUGUACAUUUUUUUUAAAAAAUAAAAAACUAGCAAAUGCUCCGGUUUUUAAGAAAAAAUCGGAGCAUUUAUGAUACAAAUGCUCCCGUUUUUUCCUUAACAACCGGAGCAUUUAACAAUCAAAUGCUCCGGUUUUUUAAACAACCGGAGCAUUUGAGACACCAAAUGCUCCGGUUGAAAUCGGAGCAUUUGCAAAAUGCUCAAAUACUCGUAUGGCUUCUGCUACGGGUCAAAUACGGAGCAUUUGUGGGCUUUUCAACCGGAGUAAUUGAUGUUUUUUCCACUAGUGGUGACAAUGUGUGAAAGACUUGCCUAAAGCCACUGAUGGCCCUGAAGCUCUCAAAAUCUUGAAGAAAGCUAAAAAGGGUUGGUUUAAACAAAGUCCUUUUUGGGAACUUCCUUAUUGGAAAGAUCUGCUUAUUCGUCACAACCUGGAUGUCAUGCACAUUGAGAAAAACUUAUUUGAUCAACUUAUACACAUAGUGAUGGAUGUGAAAGGCCAAACUUCGGAUAAUGUUAGUGCGAGAAAAGACUUGAAGUAUCUAUGUAAGCGUCGACAGUUAGAACUCACCUAUGACGAACAGGGAAACGAAAUCAUGCCAAAAGACCCUUUUGCACUUGACAAGGCUCAAAGGAAGGUCUUAUGUGAAUGGGUUCGUGACUUAAGUUUCCGGAUGGAUAUGCAUCUGACUUGAGUAGAUGUGAUGAUCUUCGAACAUCUAGGCUUUUUGGAAUGAAAAGCGAUGCUUGUCAUGUCUUUAUGGAGAGGUUACUACCGGUUGCUUUAAAAGAGUUUCUACCUUCGCAUGUUUGGAAAGCAAUUAUUGAGAUUAGUCAAUUCUUUCGUGACUUGUGUGCAUCCACUAUUCAAGUCGAUGAUAUGGAUAUUUUGGAUAAAAAUAUAGCUGAAAUUUUGUGCAAACUUAAUUAAAAAGAUAUUUCCUCUCGCAUUCUUCAACUCGAUGGAAUAUUUGCCGAUUCAUUUGGCUUAUGAAGCUAAGGUUGGUGGUCCAGUGCAAUAUAGGUGGAUGUAUCCCUUUGAAAGGUUUCUCAAUCACUUGAAGCAUAAGGUUGUAAACAAGGCACAUGUGGAGGGUUCUAUUUGCAAUGCAUACCUAUGUGAGGAAAUAUCAUAUUUUUGUUCGAAUUACUUCCAACCAGAAGUUGAUACUAAAACAAGAGAUUUGGGUAGAAACGUCACUUCAGUCAUUGAGAACCAUCAUGAUCCACAUGUUCCUGAGAUGUUUAGGGUGGAUUGUGGGCGUACAUCUACCAAUGGCCAUUUACACUUCUUGCAAGAUAAAGAGUAUGAUCGUGCACACCUUUAUGUUCUUGCAAACAGUGGUAUAUUAAGCAAAUAUGAAAGGAUUUCCGAAAAACAUAUAUUGGAGACACAUCCCCACAUAUCAUUAGAGAAGAUCUGGAGCAAAUGUGAAGCUAAAUAUCCUAAAUGGUUCAAAUAUUAUGUGAGUUUUUAAUUAAUAAAAUAUAAUUCUUAACUAAAUGGAAGCUUUUUCUAACGCAAAUUAUGUAAAUUUAACAUCGAUGUAGUUCAUGUUCUUGCAAUGGGCCCCGUUAGACAAGUGAAGUCAUGGAAUCAGUAUUUCGUCAAUGGAUACAAUUUUCAAACACAAAUCAACUAUGAACAAUGGAGUGUGUUAAAAGUCACGAGGAAGUUAAUUAUUAUGGUAUUUUGGAGGAAGUGAUUGAACUAGUUUACCAUGGUCCAUUGGAAGUCUACAAGACGAUAUUGUUUAAGUGCAAUUGGAUGGAUUCUUUGAGUGGUUUAAAUGCACAUGAACAACACAAACUCAUUGAAAUAAAUCAUAGUAAGAAGUACCCAAAGUAUGAUCCCUUUGUAUUAUCAUACCAAGUUAGCCAAGUCUAUUAUGCCCCUUAUCCUAGUUUAAGUAGGGGUAGAGUGCAAUGGUGGGCAGUGUUUCAGACUAAGGCAAGGUCUUCAAUUGAAACUCCAGUGGACUCAUUAUUCUUUCAAGAGGAAAUAAGUGAUGUGCCUUCAACUCUUUGUGCUCCAAAUGAGAUUCCAGACUAUGAUUUUGACGGGGAAGAAGAACAAAACGAGGAUGUAAUGCUUAACGAUAGUAAUUCUGAUAAUGGCGAUGAGGAUGAUAGUGAAGAUGAUCUACAAGUUUAUGAGAAUCUCGAAGAUUUUGAUGAUGAUGAUGAUGAUUGUUAUGUAGUGUAAAACUAGCAAACUUAUAUCACACUCCCAAAGAUGAGUUCUCAAAAUUGGAGACUUGUGCAACAAUGAUUGAUUCAAAUCCCGAAGCAAACUCCUGACCAGCUACCUGCACAAAAAGGGACCCACCCUGGAGGUUUGGGUGGUAUUUCCCCCUCCGAAGUUUAUGUCAGAUGUCAGGGAUGUAAAGGAACUUUUAGAGAGGGAAAGUAGAGAGAGAGAGAGAAGAAUUUAUGACAGAGUAACAGUACUAUGCUCUGAAAAAACGUACCUUUCACCCUGAAAUCAAGGACUAUUUAUACUGUUUGAAAUGACUGCUGUGCCUUGAUGUCACCCUAAUUUGGGAGCAUCUGAUUGGCUAAUUCAAAGUAGCGGGGCACGUGGCAGUAAUUGAUUGGUCAGCACACCUCACUUUCAUAAAAAGGUGUAGAUCAUUUUUACUGGGCCUAAGUACGAUUUUUGGGGCCAGAAGAGGGGCCUCUAGUACACUUUCUUCAGAGAAACGUACUUUUAGGCCUGCCCUUUCCAGACCCUUUGUACUUUUACCUCUCUGCAUGCAUGCCACAUGUAGGGCUCCGAGGGGGCCACGUGGCAGCACGAUAGCCGUUGAUUUUUUAGGCUACAACAUUUGCCCCUUAAAAGAGGGAGUUAUUAUUUUUUAGGCGCCAAGACGGUUAAUCUUCCUCUUUUAACCGACCUGGAACUGCCCUUCCCCUUUAUUCAAAAAAGAGGCGCGAUUUUGCCGGUCUCCAUAGGUCAAUCCUAGGCAUAACGGUUACUUUUCAUCGGAUGAGGAGGUCAUUUUCACCCCUCUAUAAAUAUGUGCCUUAGUCGCUCCUGGAAUCAUUUUAACAUCGCUGAGAAAUUUUCUAGAGAGAGAGACUCUGCAGAUUUUUACUGAGCUUUUAGAGAGAAGAACAACUCCCGUCCAAGUUCUUACUUUGCUCGUCCGAGGCCUCAAGUCAUCUUUGACGUUCGUCCGAACUUUCUUCUACAGGUAUAUUCUCAACUCUUUUUCUUGUUUGCACACAUAUUUUAAGAAA